rnacentral:antisense_RNA from 1 species
CUUCAGCGAGCCGAGCAGCAGCGGCCUUUCCUCGGACCGGCCCUGGCCGUACGUGGCCAGCAGCGCCUGCGCCUC